CAGGCCGUCGGAUUAAAGAGAAGCAUCCACUGCAAACAAAAUCAUCUGUUCUCCCCCAUACUCGCCUUUGCCCUCGCUCGUCAGCCGGUCGGUCGGCCUCCCUCUCCGGCACGCCGCAGUCGAUACAUCUUCGCGAGGCAUGGCGACGACGUUCAAGGCGUUCUUGAACAGCCCCGUCGGCCCCAGGACCACCCACUUCUGGGGCCCCGUCGCCAACUGGGGCUUCGUCCUCGCGGUACGCGCUCCGUAGAUUGAUUCUGGUAUCUGGUUUCGUCCCUAAACCUGUGCCAUUGGUCGAUUGCAACGACGAGAGCAUUGUAAUUGUCCAAUGUGGUGUUGGUGCCAGUUGUAGUUUUAUCUUGGCGCACAUGGCGCGAUCUGUUGAAAGGAUCUGAAUCUUGCCCCCUUUCUAGUGUUCGAUAUAAAUGUUUGGUACAUAGUUUAUUCAGGAUGCAAUGGAAACUGUUGAAGAGAAAGCUCUUUGUUUUUGCGUCUGUUAGUACAUAAACUUAUGAAGUAAAUUUUCAUACCACCUUGGAAGCAGGGGUAAAUUAACCAGCCUUUUCUAACCUUGUGGUUAAUGUAAUAGUAGCAAUAAUUGUACUCUUAGGUGUCGUUAGUUGUUUGUUACAUGAUGUAUCAUAUAUCUU